CCUACGGGUGGCAGCAGUGAGGAAUAUUGGUCAAUGGGCGCGAGCCUGAACCAGCCAAGUAGCGUGAAGGAUGACUGCCCUACGGGUUGUAAACUUCUUUUAUAAAGGAAUAAAGUGAGGUACGUGUACCUCUUUGUAUGUACUUUAUGAAUAAGGAUCGGCUAACUCCGUGCCAGCAGCCGCGGUAAUACGGAGGGUCCGAGCGUUAUCCGGAUUUAUUGGGUUUAAAGGGUGCGUAGGCGGCCUUUUAAGUCAGCUGUGAAAGGUCGGGGCUCAACCAUAGCAUUGCAGUUGAAACUGGGGGGCUUGAGUAUGUUUGAGGCAGGCGGAAUGCGUGGUGUAGCGGUGAAAUGCUUAGAUAUCACGCAGAACCCCGAUUGCGAAGGCAGCCUGCCACGCCAUGACUGACGCUGAUGCACGAAAGCGUGGGGAUCAAACAGGAUUAGAUACCCCAGUAGUC
rnacentral:rRNA from 1 species